GGAAUAAAAGUCGUAACAAGGUUUCCGUAGGUGAACCUGCGGAAGGAUCAUUACAAAUAGUGAGUGAGGGGAUUAGUGGGAAUGUGAGCGUGAAUAUUAGGCAAUCAUUUACAAUCAUUUCAUUAAACAAAAGUUGCCACCGUGGAUCUCUAGGCUCUU
rnacentral:misc_RNA from 1 species